GCCUUCGUGGUGUAGUGGUCAGCACGCUCGACGCGUAACCGAGAGAUCCGUGGUUCGAUUCCCGGCGAGGGCA
rfam:Stegodyphus mimosarum contig34208, whole genome shotgun sequence.